GGGGCUGUGGCUCAGUGGUAGAGUGCUUGCUUAGCAUGUGCAAGGCCCUGGGUUCGAUCCUCAGCACCA
rnacentral:tRNA from 1 species